UUUAUCAGGGGUCUUUCUAUGAGUUGUUCCAAGAGUUGCCACUGCUCAGACCUGUGUAGCAACAAGCCAUUCCGCAAGGAUAAGAAAAUUAAAAUUGUCAAGGUAGUUCUGUCUUUCAAAUGAUGUGCUUGUAUACACUUGCCAAUUUAUUCACAAACCUGUGUAGCAACAAGCCAAUCCGCAAGGAUGUGUUUACACCACUCUUCUAAUUUUUCAAGGUCCACUCUUUUCCCCUUCGAGAGUUUGUGUGUGCCAUGAGUUGUACUGCUGGGGAACAGCUAAAUGAAGGGGCAUAUUAUUUAUACAUGGGCCACUUACAUAAGCACUUCAGCUAAUUGCUACGCAAUGCAAAUGAAUAUACUAGUUCUCUUUUCCUUGGUGGCUGCCAAAGUACCCACUGCAGCACUGCCUUCACAAAUCCCCUUUCUUGUACUAUUGGAUGCAAAAUGACAUGUGGCGAUGAUAGGGGUGCGUUUUUGAGAAUCGGUUGUGGAGUUAUGCUUAAUGGAAGAUGUUUAUUCUACUUCUUUGACUACAAUCACAACAGCCUUUUCCCUUUACAGUCAGAAGGCUGUGGAUGGGGUGCUGUUGCAUUGGAGCCAUUGGAGAAAGGUGAUUUCAUAAUUGAGUAUGUGGGUGAAGGUACAAG
rnacentral:lncRNA from 1 species